rnacentral:rRNA from 1 species
CAUAUCAAUAAGCGGAGGAAAAGAAACUAACAAGGAUUCCCCUAGUAACUGCGAGUGAAGCGGGAAAAGCUCAAAUUUAAAAUCUGGCGGUCUUUUGGCUGUCCGAGUUGUAAUCUAGAGAAGUGUUAUCCGCGCUGGACCGUGUACAAGUCUCCUGGAAUGGAGCGUCAUAGAGGGUGAGAAUCCCGUCUUUGACACGGACUGCCAGGGCUUUUGUGAUGCGCUCUCAACGAGUCGAGUUGUUUGGGAAUGCAGCUCAAAAUGGGUGGUAAAUUCCAUCUAAAGCUAAAUAUUGGCGAGAGACCGAUAGCGAACAAGUACCGUGAGGGAAAGGUGAAAAGAACUUUGGAAAGAGAGUUAAACAGUACGUGAAAUUGCUGAAAGGGAAACGCUUGAAGUCAGUCGCGUUGUCCAGGGAUCAACCUUGCUUUUGCUUGGCGCACUUUCUGGUUGACGGGUCAGCAUCAAUUUUGACUAUUGGAAAAAGAUUAGGGGAAUGUGGCAUCUUCGGAUGUGUUAUAGCCCUUGGUUGCAUACAAUGGUUGGGAUUGAGGAACUCAGCACGCCGCAAGGCCGGGUUUUUAACCACGUACGUGCUUAGGAUGCUGGCAUAAUGGCUUUAAUCGACCCGUCUUGAAACACGGACCAAGGAGUCUAACAUGCCUGCGAGUGUUUGGGUGGAAAACCCGAGCGCGUAAUGAAAGUGAAAGUUGAGAUCCCUGUCGUGGGGAGCAUCGACGCCCGGACCAGACCUUUUGUGACGGUUCCGCGGUAGAGCAUGUAUGUUGGGACCCGAAAGAUGGUGAACUAUGCCUGAAUAGGGUGAAGCCAGAGGAAACUCUGGUGGAGGCUCGUAGCGAUUCUGACGUGCAAAUCGAUCGUCAAAUUUGGGUAUAGGGGCGAAAGACUAAUCGAACCAUCUAGUAGCUGG